rnacentral:lncRNA from 1 species
CAUUUGGUUUUCUACAUAUGAAUUUUCUGAGGAAUAUAAUAGUUGUGUGAAACAAUUAUGUGGACUGAUAAAUACUUUAUGCUCAUUAACAAUGCUGUGUUUUAGAACACGUUAUGGGAGUAUGACAACAUAGAAUUUGUACAGUUUAAAUGGAAUUAGUUUAGAGGUUUUCAUUAAGGACCAUAAGCAGAUGUAGAGCUUUCCUGCACCUUGGUUAAUAUAACUUUUGAUAAGCCCAUCACAGAAUUUCACACACUGAAUAAAGACUUUUUUGUUGGUUUUUUUUUUUGUUUACUACAGCGCACUCUCCUGCGGCUCCCCAUCACCACACUGGAGCGCUUUGACUGGCAGCCCCCACCAAAAUGUUGUUAGUAGUGGACUGAGGACACCUCUUCUUGGUCCUCUUAUAAUCUGCCAGCUGUCUUAGCACUUCCACUCACCUUACAGCUUGACUUACCAACUCUGUCUUCAUAACUACAAAAUCUUUUCUAAAGUUUUGACUUCUCUACUUAGCUUCAGGCUCAAGCUUCUUCUUUGUAAGAGACUUUUACUCUGGAUUCUCAUAGAUUUCCUCGAACUCAUUAGUUCAUGUAAAACCUCAUAACCUUGCCAACCCUGCCAAGGUUUCUUCACCUUGGCCAUAUCUCUCUGGAGUACUCUUGAUCUGUCUCUGGCAGCCCUUUUGAAUUUAUUUUGUGUUUAAUUCCAAAUAAUCCUCAAUCAGAAAACAAAAAUGGAGGCUCAAUGCUCUACGGCUGAAAGGAACUUCAGAGGUUAUAUCAGUUCUAUCAUCUGUAUCAGAAUUCUUUCUGCUACAAGCAACAGAAAACACUGCUCAAACUUGCUUAAGCAAAAAAGAAAUUGAUUAUCUCUGUAAAGUAAUAGUUCAAAUAUAUGUCAUGCUUCAGAUGAGGCUUGAUCUAGUGGUUCAAAAAGCUCAUGAAGGCCAGCAUCACUUUCCCUUAGUUUAUUCUUCCGUUUAUAGUAUGUGCCUCAUUUUUGGAGUCUUUAUGACUCCCAUCAUGAGAAGACGGCAUGCACUGAUUAACUUUAGCCACACGGAGUCCAUUCUUUUUUUGGGCAGUACAGCCAAUACUACCCAGACCAUAUGGUUUCUCUACAAAUGGAAAUUCACAAUGCUAAAAGAAGUGGGGAAAAUGGAUGCUGGGGAAGAAGUCAAAAGAUACCCAUAUCAUCAACCCCAUCGUUUUACAGAUGAAAAAGAGACGUUUCAGAGCUACAAGAUGGAAGGAGACCAUCUGUUCUAAAACUACAUUUAUGUGACCAGAAGGAAAUGUUAAUUUUAUUAAGCCAAUAAGAUGUCAAGGUUUAUUUCUAACAUUGGGGAAAUAGAAAGUUUUCUCAGUCAUCUUUUCAGUCUUGAGUUUGAGUUUCAGUCAUUGACCUAGAAUACACAUCCCGGAUCUUGCUCUCAGAGAACUCAUGCUUUAAUUCUUAAUCUCUUUGGUGUUUAGUCUUCUGAGUGAUUGCUUGAGGUUUCUACUUAGCAAAAUGGGGACAAUGAGGAAUGUGUACCAAGAUGAAAGAAACGCUUCAUUGAUAAAUUAGAUAGCACCUGCACAUGCAGAGUUACAGUUGCAUUUCUUACUGGCUUCGCCACAUCACUUCUUACUCCUUGAAGUCAUAUAAGGAAAGCUUUUUUCUUUUUUAAAGUAGGGCAUCGGUGG